GCCUGUGGUAGCACUAGUGGAGGUGCUGACAGCAUUAGUUGAGGAAGCAGAAGAACUACCACCAAAACUAAAUACGCCAGGAGUAGCACCAGUGGAGGUGCUGACAGUAUUUGCUGAGGAAGCUGAAGAACUACCACCAAAACCAAAUACGCCAGGAGUAACACUAGUGGAGGUGCUGACAGAAUUUGAGGAAGCUGAAGAACUACCACCAAAACUAAAUACGCCAGGAGUAGCGCCAGUGGAGGUGCUGACAGUAUUUGUUGAGGAAGCUGAAGAACCACCACCAAA
rnacentral:lncRNA from 1 species